UAGCCACCAGUUAAUUAAAUUGAAAAUUCAGUAAUUUGUACAAACAAGUGAAACCUACUACUGUACCUUUACUGAUGAUGAUAUAACUUGAUCAUCAUCACAACUCUGUAUUUGUUGCACAACAACUUUUUGACUGUGGAGCAACGUGUUCUCCGACUCCAAAACUUUAAUCUUCUCCCUCAGUCUGACAUAAAACAAUUUCAAAUAUCUGCAGUGAUUGCUUUCAAGAAACAUCAUCUAUGUGCCCAGCUAUGUGAAGUGCUUCAGGGUUUUAUCAAGUUUUUGUAGGAACGGAAGUACCAAGUGUACGCUCAGAGUGUCUCUUUUCUAUAUUCUUACAGUUCCAUUUCCUCAGUGAAGUCUUCCUUAGCUGAUGCAGCCAAAGCCUGCUGACGUAGCACCUGAUUCUCAGACUCGAGAUUAGAUAGUUGUGAAGUUUUCAUUUGUGCCUCUUCUGCUUCUUUAAGUCUAGCAUGGCUUUCUAGUUCCACCUUUGAAUAAGCCUGCUCAAACUCUUCUACCUUCUUCUUCAAUUCAGUAAUCACUUCCUGCAAAUAUGCACUCGGAAUUAGAUGAUCAGUAGAUGGCAGGCUGGAGCAGCUUACCAGGCUUCAUCAAGAAGAGCAAUUAUUCCUCCUGGUUUCUGCAGGUAAAUAAAUAUUCAAAUACUGUUGUUAACAUUAUGAAUAUAAUUAGAUUAGCAUGCAUCCUCACACAAACAAACCUUUUCAAGAAGAUCUAGAACAUCUUGAUUGUCAACGAACUCAACAUAACUCCAGUCAAUUUCCUCCUUUGUAUACUCCUCUUGUUCCAUCUUGAAAACAUGCUGUAAUAUGUUUGUCCAAUGAAUCAACAUAUGUCCAGUAUAUAUGGUGCCGAUAUUAAGCUGAACUACAUUGUACCUGAUUGAAAUGCUGUUGCAACUUCUCGUUCGUUAGGUUGAUACACAACUGCUCAAAACUGCAAUAUGCAGGGUGCAGACAAGUUAGUCUUGAGGCACAAACACCUCUGUUAUGUCCAAAGAAAAAGGCAGUAAAUACCUGUUGAUCUUGAAACUCUCGAACCCAUAAAUAUCUAGGACUCCAAUUAUGCUUUUAGCAUUCGGGUCUUGACCAAUCGAAUUGUUUAUCUUGUCCACAAUCCUGUCAUAAUAGUAGGAAAGAAGUGGCAGUUAUGCAUAAUUUUUCUUUAUUCGCUACAGCAUAGUACUUCAUUUCAAUCAAAUUUUUGUAUUCUGAAACUUUUGAUCAGAUCAAAUGAAAAAUACUGUUUCAUCCAUUCAGUUGCUUGAUAUUUUUUUCAGUCACUCUUAUUUUGUUGAUGCAAAACCUCAAAUUGAUAGCAAGUUUCUAAAAUGCCUCCUUAUCUCUUUACCCCAUGUAGCUCAUCUAUAAGACUGUAUUGUUACAAUUUCUGUAAGUAGUAAUUACAGUGCCCAUAAGAAUCAGGAAUAUAGUAUUCGUACUGGAAUCGAAUCAUAUUUCUUUGUGCUAUGCUUCUCAUAAUCAUGAGAAAAACCUCUGCUAGUCAUAACAUUUCAUAGGGAUGAGUAUCAUGACUUGGUGAAUUCACUCACCAAUCAAACAAUCUGGAAUAUAUUGUCUUUGCAAAAGCAUCCCUGCUUGUGACAGCUGCAGCUGGAUCGAGUGGUUUUGUGAUGCUCCCAUCGGGGGUAACAAUGACGCGCUUGCAAAGAGAGUCCUCCAGUGCCUUCUCACUGCACCUGUAUAGAUGCAUUUCAAACAACAUUCAAGAACUUCAUAAAGCUCAAAUGUUGUUGUAUCAAGUGCCAAAACUGAAGAGAUCUCUUACUGGAGCAGCUCAGCUGCCGUCUGAAGGUGAUAGAGUGACUUAUCAUUUUUCAGCUUAGAUGAAUCUACUUCACUCCCCUUGACAAACUCAAUAUUCCCCAAAUGGAGUAUAGCAGCUACUACGCGGAAUAUAGCUUCCUGCUCAAGGACAGAUGAUAAAAAGGUGUCAAUGAUUUGAGGCUGCUUGCACGAUCCUCCAUUCUCCAGUCAAGAGACAUACCUGCUCGUCCUGGCUGAUUCCAACAAUGUCCAUGGCAUUUCUGGUUUCCAGGUAUUCUCUGGCAUCGUCUACAUUUGCCACCUCAUAGCAAUUACUUUGAUUUAGAUAGUGAAAUGAUCUUGGAUCUCCAAGCUUGUACCUCUUCACUUCCUGCAGUUAAAUGGUACUUUAGGCACGGCGGUUCAUACAAAUUCACUUCAUGAAAAUACACAUCACCUCUGGAGGCGCUGCGCAAAGCAUGUAAAAGCAAUGGUAGUUCCUCUCCGGAUCAGAGACUUGGCAAACACGCGAUCUUUCUAGGAGAUAAGUCCGAACUGCAGCUCCGGAGAUCUUCCCAUGCUUAUCGAAUUGGAUUUCUACAAAUUUACCGAAACGACUGGUACCACCACUCAGUCAAGUGAACUUCUUCUCCACUCUCUCCGCUCACCAAGAUAGACUGGCUUCCAUGUUCAUUAAUUAUUGACCUGAGGUAUCUGCAACGGCAAAGAGAUGCGGACUCAGCUCUCCGAAAGCAGCUCCUUUGUACUGCUGCAUCAUAUGGAUAUCAUACAGAUGUGGCAACCUCCGGAAAGGAUUCACAGCUAUCAAAAUGUUCCCUGUCUUCAGGAUCUUCAGCCCAAACAUGCGAUCCAACAAUGAUGUUUACCGGACUACCCUGAAGUGAAGAAGACAAACAAGAUCAUUACUUCCACUCAUCACAAAACUGCAGAUGCAUGUAUCAUCGCAAAUCAACUGAUUUACCAUUUCUGGUGAAGGCUAUCUGAGCAUUGAACACAAAAUGAGUAAGUUUCUGCUAGAGAGAGAGAGAGAGAGAGAGAGAGAGAGAGAGUAUUUGAAGGAAUGUUGAAAUGAAAAGGAGCAGAGCAAGGUAGGAAAAGGAAUGUCGCAAGGCACUCGAAAAGUAGGGUAAUGAAGGAAGGUGGUGAAAAUUGCAACAACAAAAAAGCAAAAGGCGAAAAAUUGCAGCCUACAUUCUGUCAACUCCGAUUUUCUAGGUCCACGUCGGAUGCUGACAUGGCACCCGAAAAGUACUGAUCCUGUGAUUCGCGCGUGAAUUCUGUAGUUGAAACCGGCCAAUGGGAACAAGAUGAGGUGAUCAAUGGCAAUUUGCAAUCCCAAAAUGCAUGAAUGAUUGCAGCAUGCCAUGGUGAUUAGCUGUGGGCUUGCAAUGUAAAAUGUCACAUUGUUGCUAAUUAUGAUGUGCAGCAGGCAAAAGUAGGUGCUAGUAAUCUUUCAAUGGGGCAACCAAUAUUUUUUUAUAUUGCCUUUUUCUUUAAAAUGCUUGGCCCCUUAACUUUCUCUUUAAUCAAGGGUUUAACAAGAUUAAAGAUGAAUUUGUGUGUGUGUUUGUCUAGCGGGUGGAAGGUUAAUGCUCAAGACCUGAGGUCCUGAGUUCGAGUUAGGAUGUGAUAAGCGAUCGAAGAAUAAACUUCUUUUCUAUUAAUUUUCAUUUUAUUGUAUUCCAAUGUAUAAUUAUGUAAUGUGAUUAAAUUAAAUAGUCCAACAAGCUCAUACUCUUGUUUUUA